UUCUGAGAGAAUGAUUUGAUCUAUGGUUCAGGAACAGAAGGAUUACUGAGGAAUUUUGUAUGUUCUCAGAGUGCCUUUCUAUUUCAGGAGGAAAAGAAGACAAAUUCCGUUUCACAGAAGCGAGUGGAACUAUACCAGAGGGUUGCUUAUGGAGCAAAGAAGUGAAUUUUCACUCUAAACCACGCUGGCUGUGUUCAUAAAUAUUGAAGGUGGAAUGAAAACGAUUUAGAAAGCAGAAACAAUGUUUGCGAUCGAAUUCUAAGAAACUGAUGCAGACAUGUGAUUGAAAAUAUUUCAGCUGUGUGAAGGCCUAUAUUAAUUUCUGCAUGAUAACAUUUGUUUCCAGAGUUUCCUGCCGAGAUUAGAGACUUAUUCCAGCACGUACCAGCAUAAUGUCAUAGAAGAUUGACUCUGUGCGAUGCUCUGUGACGAAAGGUCUCGAGAUUAAACCAGCUUGAUAAUAACCUGCUAAAGGAAGAGUAAUAAAACUAUACAUAUCGAACUCUUGCAGCUCACUAUUGAAAAGACAAACAACCCAAUUAAAAGGUGGGCCAAGGAUCUGAGUAGACAUUUCUCCAAAGAAGUUAUAUGAACGAUCAAAACGCAAAUAAAAACUGCUCACCAUCGUUAAUCCAUUAGGGAAAUGCAAACCACAACUACAAUAAGAAACCACCUGACAUUAGAAAUGCUAUCCUGAAAAAGACAAGGGUUGGUGAGAAGAUGGAGAAACUGGAAAUGGCAUAUACACUGCUAUUAAGGAAUGUAAAAUUCUACAGCUGCCUUGGAACACAGUCUGGCAGGUCCUCAAAGAGUUAAACAUAGAAUUUCUCUGUGACCCAGCAAUUCCCCUCCUAGGAAUUGCCCAAGAGAAAUGAAAACACAUAUUCACACAAAAAUGUGUACACGGUCACAGCAGCAUUCUGUGUAAUCGCCCCAACACAAAAACAACCCAAACGUCCAUCAACUGAUGAAUGGAUAAACGACGUGUGGUGCAUCCUUACAACAGAAUAUUAUUCAGCGAUAAAAAGAAAUAAAGUGCUGACACGUGCAAGAACUUAGAUGUACCUUGAAAACAUCACGCUAAGUGAAAGAAGCCAGUUACAAAGGACCACCUGCUGCAUGAUUCCACUUAACACGAAACGUCUAGAGUAGUAGGUAAAUCUGUAGAGGCAGAAAAUAGACUCAUGGUGGCUUAGGUCCCGGGUGGUGUUUACAAAAAUUGGGGGUGAUGGCUAAGGGAUGCAGUGUCUCCUUCACAAUUCUGUAAUUGAUUGUGGUAACGUAUACACAACUCUGUGACUGUAGUAAAAGUGACUGAACUGUACUUACGUGGGUGAAUUGUAUGGUAUGUGUAUUACAUCUCACUAAAGCUGUUAAAAAAAAAAAAAAGGUACAAUUUGUGUUAGAUCGUGAAGGAUCCUGUAGGCCAGUGAUGAGAGGUUUGGUGUCACUGUGGAGAAGAAACAGAGCCGUGGCACCCCUGCUGGCCCCAAAUAUCCUCUGCCAGAUAAAAUCCACUGCUGCUCAUCGGGCUAAUCGAUGAGUCACCGCUCUGGCCAGGACUACAUACCCCUCUGUCUAUCCUAUAAAACAAGUGUCUGUGUUGGUCCCAGGCAUCUCAGUCUCUCGGGCCUCUCUGCUCAAACCUCGUCUUUGGUCCCUGUAGCCACACCAUCAGCAGAGAAGGUGGUUGGGGUAGGGAGAGGGGUGCCCAUGAACAUUGCAUAAUCCGUGCUUCAGAUGGUAAGAUCGUUCCCUCCACCUGGCUCACCACCUUUCCUAAAUAUGUUAGACCACCCCAUCCCUUUCCCUUGGUUUCUUGCUGGGUAUUUUAAAUUGAUUUAAUAAAUGAUGUGAUUUGCACAUGUUAA